UACGAAGGGGGCUAGCGUUGCUCGGAAUCACUGGGCGUAAAGGGUGCGUAGGCGGGUCUUUAAGUCAGGGGGGAAAUCCUGGAGCUCAACUCCAGAACUGCCUUUGAUACUGAGAAGCUUGAGUCCGGGAGAGGUGAGUGGAACUGCGAGUGUAGAGGUGAAAUUCGUAGAUAUUCGCAAGAACACCAGUGGCGAAGGCGGCUCACUGGCCCGGUACUGACGCUGAGGUGCGAAAGCGUGGGGAGCAAACAGG
rnacentral:rRNA from 1 species